UUAAUGCUCCCUCCGUCCGGAAAUACUUGUCAUCAAAAUGAAUAAAAGGGGAUGUAUCUAGAUGUAUUUUAGUUCUAGAUACAUCCCCUUUUGUCCAUUUUGAUGACAAGUAUUUUCGGACGGCGGGAGUACUUA
rfam:Triticum aestivum genome assembly, contig: Triticum_aestivum_CS42_TGACv1_scaffold_030321_1BL